rnacentral:rRNA from 1 species
UACCCAGACUCCUACGGGAGGCAGCAGUGGGGGAUAUUGCACAAUGGGGGGAACCCUGAUGCAGCGACGCCGCGUGGGUGAAGGAGCGUUUCGGCGCGUAAAGCCCUAUCGGCAGGGAGGAAGAUGACGGUACCUGACCAAGAAGCCCCGGCUAACUACGUGCCAGCAGCCGCGGUAAUACGUAGGGGGCAAGCGUUAUCCGGAUUUACUGGGUGUAAAGGGGGCGCAGACGGCAAUGCAAGCCAGGAGUGAAAGCCCGGGGCCCAACCCCGGGACUGCUCUUGGAACUGCGUGGCUAGAGUGCAGGAGGGGCAGGCGGAAUUCCUGGUGUAGCGGUGAAAUGCGUAGAUAUCAGGAGGAACACCGGUGGCGAAGGCGGCCUGCUGGACUGCAACUGACGUUGAGGCCCGAAAGCGUGGGUAGCAAACAGGAUUAGAUACCCCCGUAGGC